rnacentral:lncRNA from 1 species
CCCAAAUGCUUCAUAUUCGUCAAGCACAUAGUGCUCCAUGACAACCAUUGCAAUUGCCAUUCAGAACUGUUUUUGCAGAUGGGAUUUUCCCUGGCUUACAACACAUUUUCUGUGUUGAAUACUGCUAGGAUCCCUGCUCCACCCUGUCAGCUGGCUGUCCCUACCCCUUUCAGUGCUAGUCUGCUUGCUUAAGCAGAUUCAAUUUUGCCAGCAUUUUGCUUGUGGCAGCCCAUGUUUGCUUGCAAAAGUUCAAACUUUUGCUAACAAGGCUGGAGCCUGUCCUGCGUUGCACUGAUGGGAAAUUUCCAGGCUGUGGAUAGACCUUUACAGGCCCCAAACAGCUGCAGCUCAUAACUGAACUGUAUUUGCUGCUGGUCUGGCUUGUCACUGGCAAGGAGGAGGAUAUUAAAGUCCUAUAAAGAUACUAUCAAAUUAGAAAAUACUGCACAGUGUGCUUUUGUUUCUUUUAAGGAUGAAGAAACCAGAUGAGAGAGGACUUAAGCUCCCUCUGUGCAUAUAUGCAGAGCAGAAAGAAAUUAGAUUUAACUGACACCUUGAUGAUAGUACUUGAUACUUGACUAUAUUUAAUCACUUAUAGAAAAGACAGUUGCACUUUUCAACAGCUGCUGUUGCUCUGAGCUUCAAGGGGCUAGCGAAAAGAUUAGGUCUGGGAAGGGAUUUAGUCCCUCUCUCUCCAUCUCCCACAAAAUCUGCAUUUUUCAUGACUUUUGGAGUUCCAGGGGGAAAAUAAAACAAAACAAAACACGUUCUUUACUGUGUUCAAAACUUUACUGCUGUUUCAAUUAUGUCAUAGCAGUAUAGGGGGAAGCAGAUGGCCAGGAAAGAAAGCAGGCCCAGCAGGUGUGAGAGCAUACAUCACCAGCUUUGGCAUCCCCCAUCAGUGGGGCUCAUCUUUGCCCAGCCAUGGAGGAAAGGCCUUGCUGACUUCCCAGAAAUCAGACAGGUGGCCUGA